AAUAACUUGGAGUUUAAGACAAUGGAUUUUUUUUCAUGGAAAACAGAUAACAUAAAAAUAGAAGAAGAGGUGAAAAAGGCAUUGGAACUAGGAGUUAUUAAAUCCGAAGAUUUGGAGAAACUAAAUAAAGUUUUGAAAGAGUUUCGUGCUUUAAAAUUUGAUAACUUAAAUUAUCACUCAGAUAAAUGUUUACUAGCAAGAGAAUUAAUAAUUAUAUAUAUGUCAACAUAUAAAAAGCAUAUAGAAUCAUUAAAAGUAUUUAACACUCAAAUAACACUUAAGUAUAUAAAAAGGACAGUGUUAAGUAUCAAUAAUUUGAUAUGUAAUAUAAAUGAGCAGAUAUUAAAAUGUUUUUAUAUGUUGAAAAGUUUAUAUGAUGACAUAGUAAAAUUAAAUAAUCAAUAUUUGGCUGAUUAUUGUUUAUUUGCAAUAAUAGAUGAAACAUUAAAUAUAUUAAGUGAUGAGAAGCAGUAUUCUUCUAAUAGUACUAUUUGGGGGUUAUCUAGUUUUUUAGCUUUAAUUCUGUCAAAUUAUAACAAAGCGUAUUUUAUUUAUAUAGGUAUAAUUUCAUAUAAAUGUAUUUAUACUAUCCCUAUAUUUAUUGAUCCAAGUAGUAUACAAAAUAUGUCAAAAGAAAAUUUACAUAAUAUAAUAUUAAAAGAGAAUGACGAAUUUUUAUAUACGAACUUUUCUAGAAUUGAAUCUUAUGUAAAAUUACAUUUAUCUGUUUAUAUUGUAUUAAAUGAUACUAGAGAAAUAUGGUCGUUUUUAUCUGAAGUUUUUAAUAGUGCGUACAGAAGAAAGACAUGUAUAUAUUUUUGCCUAAUUUAUGCUGCGCUUGAAGUUUCAACCUAUUAUUGUAAAAUUACGUUUUCACAUUUUUUUGAUUAUUUAUUAAUAUUAUUAAAAAUCAAACUUAUGCCAAUUUUAACACAAGAAUUUCAAAAAAACCCACCUGCUCCAAAUGUUGAAAAAAUUGUAGAAUAUUACAUACAAAAAAUACAUAUGGAAUAUUUAAGCGAUAAUAUAAAACUUUCCAUACCUGAAGAAAUAGUUAUAAUACCCGAUGAAAAGUUAUUGUACUUGGACUAGUUACAUCCAUACGUUCACAUAUAUACAUAAAUACAUGUAUGUGUGUAUGUUAACGUAUGUACAUGUACGCAUUUAUACAGUACCUUUAUAUAUAUAUAUUUUUUUUCAAGUUUUUACUGUGGUUAUGUUUUUUAUAUUAUUUUUAUAUAUAUAUAUAUAUAUAUAGAUAUAUAUAUUUUUCUUUUUUUUUUUUUGUCAUGCAUAAAAUAAGAACGCUCUUUAAAACUUUGAAAUAUAAGGUCACAACGUCAC
rnacentral:lncRNA from 1 species